AUGUUAGGCCGACCCAUGGUGAUGGAAAGAAAAAUAAAAAUAAAAUUAAUACUACCUGAUAUAACACCGAACAGGGAUAAGCGGGGAUGCGAAUCAGAGGGAGGCGGAUCUGGUGGGUAUGUGCGACCGGGUGAGCUCACGGCUGGGCUGAGCACGGCGAGCUGGGUCGUCGUUGGAGGGAGCUUCGCGGUGGAGGGAUUUGAGCAGUAG